rnacentral:rRNA from 1 species
CACAGAGUUAGCCGGUGCUUCCUUUGAGGGUACCGUCACCUCCCGAAGCUAUUAACUUCAAGAGCAUUCGUUCCCUCCGACAGAGCUUUACGACCCGAAGGCCUUCAUCACUCACGCGGCGUUGCUGCGUCAGGCUUUCGCCCAUUGCGCAAUAUUCCCCACUGCUGCCUCCCGUAGGAGUCUGGACCGUGUCUCAGUUCCAGUGUGGCUGAUCAUCCUCUCAGACCAGCUAACCAUCUUUGCCUUGGUGAGCCGUUACCUCACCAACUAGCUAAUGGUACGCAGGCCCAUCUCUUAGCGAUAGCGUAUAAAUAGAGGCUACCUUUGACCUCUGUCUCCGAGGAGACCGUGGUCUUAUUUGGUAUUAGCUCGUCUUUCGACAAGUUAUCCCAAUCUUAGAGGCAGGUUACCUACGUGUUACUCACCCGUGCGCCACUUUACUCGGAGCCGAAGCCCCUUUCUCGUUCGACUUGCAUGUGUUAGGCACGCCGCCAGCGUUCGUUCG